GAAAUUCAUUCCCCGAUAAGUUUUAAGGGAAAAGAAUAUGCGUGGCCGGGAGAUUUUAUGGAAGGGAAGAGAACGUGGUAUACAUCUAUACGUAUUACGAACAUCCGACGGAAAAAUUUACUUCGAUUGAAGUUGUCCGAUAAUUCUGGAACCGAGUCUUACAGUUGAAAAACAGAAAAGUUGCAUUAUAUUGAUUCGAAGCGAGAAUAGCUUACAAUUAGCCUUGCUGUUGAA
rnacentral:lncRNA from 1 species